rnacentral:lncRNA from 1 species
AUAGAGGUCACUAGGACCCAGAUCUCCCUUAUAAAAUAGCUAAGGCAAAAAAAGAUUUGAGAAUCCAAAAGGUUAGAGAACAACUAAUGCAAAGCCAAGCAAGAACCCAAACAAGAGGAACUGUUUUGAUGACAAAGCUCAUCUUCUUAAGGUAUCUAAUAUGUGCCAAUCCCUGUGCUACAGACACAAGAAAACAGACCCUGAUGACACUCCAGUGGAGGAGAAGCUAGACUGGACUGGACCCAUCAGAGCUCCAAG